AUUCUUUAUCUGCCGGUUGAGAAACCGUAAAAAUAAUAGUGAAUAAUUGCCAAUUAAAAUGCAAUUAUCAACGAUGCAUUUAAACUUACGCCAUAUACAGCAAUAUAUUAGCAAGACUUGCUGAACUUCAGACAUCAUUUUCUCUUUGGCGUACCAUCUAAAAUCUCUUCAUUUUAGUAUUAUUUUACAGAUAAAACACUAAACAUACCUUUUUAAGUUUAAUUGUUUUUGUUUGUGGAAACACCACGUAAAUUUAUUACUGCAAAGCUUUCGAUCCGUAAGCCCGGAUCUUCAUCAGUGCUAAUAUGUAUAAUAACUAGAAGUUACUAUCGCAAGGAAAGUGCUGCCUCGUGCCAAAGGGAUCAAAGGCAGCAUGCACAAUUUUCUGAAUAAGGGUCUGUUUUUAUGAUCCCGCUUUGUCAGGACGAGAUAUGAGGCGGGAAAGGCACGAUGAUUCAAUAAUAAUAGUACUGAUGAAGAUCCGGGCUUACGGAUCGAAAGCUUUGCAGUAAUAAAUUUACGUGGUGUUUCCACAAACAAAAACAAUUAUAUUUUAUCGCCAUGCAAACAUUCAGAGAACUUUUUAAGUUUGUUUGCCGCUUGAGAAACGAAUCAAAUAUUUAAAAAAUCGAAUACGCACACGUAACAAUCUCACAUCUUGUAGCAAGUCUGCCAACAAGCCGUCAACAAGUAGUCUUCGCACUGCAGCUUGUCACAAAUUGUCAACAAGUUUGGAACAAGCUGUUAACAACUUGUACCAACCUUGUUGAUAUUAUCAAAUUUGUUGCAACGUUGUUCAAACAAGUCCGAUACUGUCAUGAUGUAACAAUAUUGUUACAACCUUGCGUCGUCAACCUUGUAACAUUCUUGUUAAUAUAUCAUGACUGUAUCAGACUUGUUAAUAGAACAACCUUGUAACAAGUCUGAUAAUGCCAUCAAGCUUGUUACAAGUUGUUAACAGCUUGUUACAACAACUGGGAACAAGCAGUGCGAAGACAACUUGUCGACAGCUUGUGAACAGGUUUGUAACAACUUGUUUGCAGACUUGUAACAACUUGUGCGUUUUUCCGUGUGUAGUCAUAGCCAAGUAGAAAAGUACAUUCAUGAGUUUUGAGCGCGUGUUACGUAACAUACAAAAAAUUCUCCUCUAAAUAUGAGGGAAUAACGGUUUGUCCCUGAACUACCUGAAAAAAUUUAACUGAAGAUAUGUCGAGAGCUUUUCCGCAAAAUAAAAUUUCUCCCACGCUGGGCAAAUCAAGCGAUACUUUAUUUUUAUCUGACAACUUAAUUGCCAAUUAUCUUUUUGAAAAUAACUGCACCCAAGCGAUUCAAUUUUUCGUGGAAACCAGUCAAUUGAAACAGGGCGCGAGGAAAAAUGGCAAGACAGAGUAAAUAUAAGUGAUGAAACUAAUUUAGAGGUUUCGUGACAGACUCACAGACUAGACCAGAUAGCCAAGUGUUUUGUUCUUUUUUUCAAGUGUAUACGUGGGUUUUCAAAUUCGAUGACGAAGUUGACUUGAUGUUAUAGGGAGGGCUCAUUAUUUAUUAGGGGGGUGCGGCACCGAAAGGAAAUGUUUUUCAUGGUAAAAAAUUUGUUGAUUCAACAUUAAAAAAAAAUUUUUUUACCUAACUUCAAAUAUCGACUACGAUUCAAUGAUUCAAUCUGAAUUCAGGAAACUCAAUCUUAGGAUUCCAUGAUUCAGCUGAGGAUUCAAUGAUUCAAUCUUAGGAUUAAAUGAUUCAAUCUUAGGAUUCAAUGAUUCAAUCUUAGGAUUCGAUGAUUCAAUCUUAGGAUUCAAUGAUUCAAUCUUAGGAUUCAAUGAUUCAAUCUUAGGAUUUAAUGAUUCAGUCUUAGGAUUCAAUGAUAAAAAAUUUUCACCCAGCUUCAAAUAUUGCCUUAAAAAUAAAUAUCCUCCCUUGACCAAAAACAAAAAAGAUACCAUUCAGUUGUCACGUCACACAUGUCCUCAACUGUGACACGAGUUUGAUAAACUCUCACUGUUACAAAUUACAAUAACAACAGCAGAUUCAACAGUCAACAACUAUAUGUCAUUCAUCAAAACACAAAAACGCACAUACGAGGAAUUUUGGAUUACAACAAAAAAUUUCGAAAACGCCAUGAUUGCAUGUCGUCCAACCGAGGCUGGAUAUUAGGGACCGCGGUCAUUAUUUAUGGCGGGGGGUGGCACCAAAGAGAAAAGGGUUGGGUGAACACAAUUUUGAGUGAGUAAAAGGUUGGGUAAAUGAAAAACAAAACAACUCAAGGGUUGGGUAAUAAAAAUUUAUUGUCAUUUCCAAAGCAUGACUCACUCAAUAUUGAAGACUAUAAAGCAAUGCCAACAGUCAUAUAUGUCAAUACAAUAGUAAAUCAAUCAGAGUCACUAUCUUGAUCAUUUUCCGAUUUGUCAGGAGGCAAAUGGUGUCUCCAAAGAAAGUACAUGAACAGAUAACAUGAAACUUUAGACUGCAGAAAAUUGCACAAGCAUUUAUCAUUAACUCAUGUCACAGAAGUGGUAAAGGACAUGUGUGACAACAGAAUGAUAUCCUUUUGACAACUUUUUGGCCAGUGGUGGAUAUUUAUUUUUUAAUUGAUAUUUGAGGUUGGGUAAGAAAUUUUUGUGGACUUUUUAAUGGUUGGGACAGCAAAAUGUUUGCCAAGAAAACCAUUUCUCUUCGGUGCCAACCCACGCCAUAAACACAGAAAUAAACUCAGGCGAGGUUUCCAGCGAAACAUGAUCAUAUGAAAGACCUUCAACACCAGAAUAUCUAAAACAAUGUUUAAAGGACAUUGGCAAUAAAAUAUUAGUUUGUCUCAUUCAGAAGAACUCUUAAAAUUAUAUAUUAAACUCUGUUACCGAUUUGUCAUAUCUUGCUUAGUUCUCGAAAUAUUUAGACCGAAAUUAAUGAGCUGUACGCCAUCUUGGACUAAUUCUUGACCUCAUUUUAAUUAUGGUUUUGAUGACGUCAGAAGUUGGGUUAACCAUAUAAAACUACUCUAAAAUGACCGAGAAAUAAUCCAAAUUGUUUGAAAUGAUUUUAAACAUUUCUAAAUUUCAGACAGCCGCAGAAACGAAGGUUUGGACCCAUAUUGAUCGCUUAUUCUCCAGAUAAAAAAUUAGCGUGACCCCUCUCCUGACGUAACAUGUAUAUCCUCGAUAAUCCAAGAUGGCGAACAGCUCACUUUUUCAGUCGAAAUAUUUUGAAAACUAAGCAAAAUAUAAACAGUCUGUAAUAGAGUUUAAUAUAUAGUUUUAAGAGUUCUUUCAAAUGAACUAAACUAAUUUUUUCUUGCCAAUGUCCUUUUUGAACGAAAAUGUAAAAAUUCCAAAAGUUUUUCAUCUUGCUGCAAAUGGAUUGAGUGGAUUCUCGGAGGGUACGUUUCGUGGCGGUGGGGGGAUUAAACUUGGUGGACGAGGGGGACCACUGGGCGGGCCUUGCUGGCCUGGAGGUGGGCCCGAAGGCGGGUUGAAACCAGGUGGUGGUGGAGGUCGUGGUUGAGACGGACCAGGGGGGUUGUUCGAGACGCCAGGAGGUGGGGGCGGUCCGCUAGAGGAGGGGUUAGUGCGACGGGGGUUGCGAGAUUGUUGUUUCAUCUGCUGCAUGAGUUGUUGUUGGUGGGCUGAGAUCUUGAAAUGCAUUUGGAAGAAAAACU